rnacentral:rRNA from 1 species
AGUGAACGCUGGCGGUAGGCCUAACACAUGCAAGUCGAACGGCAGCACAGUAAGAGCUUGCUCUUACGGGUGGCGAGUGGCGGACGGGUGAGGAAUACAUCGGAAUCUACUUUUUCGUGGGGGAUAACGUAGGGAAACUUACGCUAAUACCGCAUACGACCUACGGGUGAAAUCAGGGGUUCUUCGGACCUUGCGUGACAGAUUGAGCCGAUGUCGGAUUAGCUAGUUGGCGGGGUAAAGGCCCACCAAGGCGACGAUCCGUAGCUGGUCUGAGAGGAUGAUCAGCCACACUGGAACUGAGACACGGUCCAGACUCCUACGGGAGGCAGCAGUGGGGAAUAUUGGACAAUGGGCGCAAGCCUGAUCCAGCCAUGCCGCGUGGGUGAAGAAGGCCUUCGGGUUGUAAAGCCCUUUUGUUGGGAAAGAAAAGCAGCAGGUUAAUACCCCGCUGUUCUGACGGUACCCAAAGAAUAAGCACCGGCUAACUUCGUG